UACGGAGGGUGCAAGCGUUACUCGGAAUCACUGGGCGUAAAGGGCGCGUAGGCGGCCUAGCAAGUCUGGUGUGAAAGCCCAGGGCUCAACCCUGGAAGGGCACUGGAAACUGUUAGGCUUGAGUUCCGGAGAGGAGGGGGGAAUUCCCGGUGUAGCGGUGAAAUGCGUAGAUAUUGGGAGGAAUACCGGUGGCGAAGGCGCCCCUCUGGUCUGAAACUGACGCUGAGGCGCGAAAGCGUGGGGAGCAAACAGG
rnacentral:rRNA from 1 species